CUCUUUCCCCGAUGCAUCUUCCGGGUGUAUAGAGGCAGCGUGCUGGGCAGCUUGGCUCCUUUGUUUGCCGUGGCGGCCGACGAAAGUUAAAUUAUCACCCAGUGUGGCUGACCACUGGUCCAGGAGCGGAGGACUGCUCCGCUGGAGGCCCGCUGCGUGUGGUUGUCUGUCGGCGUGCAUCCGUUCUGUGUUUCACUCCCGCCCUCACGGCGAGGCUGCGCUGUCAAAGUUUAAAGCCACUGCGCUAACACCGGCUGCUGCUUUGGCUCUCUCGUUGUUGUUAUUUAUGCUUCCCUCUCGCGAGGUCACGUCGCCGCCGACUGCUCGCACCGCAGGUCUCUCUCUCCCCCCUCUGGCGAGGACCGGCGCCGUCCCCACCGUCGGCGUGAGGCCGGACCCCACACCCUGGAGGCUGGUCCUAGAAGGAGCGCCUGGGCACGGCGACCUGUGUUUUUAUAGUGUUAUUGUUGGGUUCUCUGGUUUAUUUUUUUCUUUCUUUUUGUUUAUGUGAAUUGUUUGUUUAUUGUAUUGUUUGUUUGUUUUUUUCCAAAUUAGAUGUAUUAUUUUGAUUAGUUGAGAGUGCACCAGGGCUGGUAGGGUUUUAAUUUUCUCCCUCUCUUUCCCUGGACAGGUGCUGAGGCUCCCGGCAGCAUUUUGGUUUCCUGGUGGCGGUGUUUUCUUCACGUUCCCUUUUCGGUUGGUGUGCAGUGACACGGGUGGAUAAUUUUUGGACCUUCUCCCUUUUUACGUUAUUACUCCCCUGCUGCUGUGGUAAGCCCCAGCCCUGUCCGACCUUCCUCCCCCUACCAGCGGUUUUAGUAAGAUGUUGAUUAUUUUCUGGUGCUUUAUUUGUUAUUUCUUUUUUUGUUAAUAAACAUUCCUUUA